rnacentral:rRNA from 1 species
UCGUCCACAAUGGACGGAAGUCUGAUGGAGUUAGUGCAGCACUGAAGGGCGGAAACUUUCGGCUCGUAAAACUCUGUUGUUUAAGAAGAACAUAACUACCAGGGAUCUAAUCCUGUAUUGCUGGACUUUAAGCCGAACGCCAGUUACAGACGAGCCAGCCGCCGUGCUACUACGUACUUCGCAUGCGAUGUCCGGAUUUAUUGGGCGUAAAGCCUGUCGCAGGCGCUUUUUUAAGUCUGAUGUUGAAUCUUCGGCUCAACCGAUGAACUGCUUCGGAAACUGGGAAAGUUGAUUGCAGAAGAGGACAGUGGAACUCCAUGCGUAGCGGUGAAAUUGCGUAGAGUAUAUGGAAGAACAGCAAGUGGCGAACGCGGCUGUCUGGUCUGUAACUGAACCUGAGGCGUCGAAAGUAUCCGGGUAGCAAACGGGAUUAGAUACCCUGGUACUCCAUACUCGUAAACGAUGAAUGCUAAGUGUUGGAGGGUUUCCGCCCUUCAGUGCUGCACUAAGCGCAUUAAGCAUUCCGCCUGGGAGUACGG